UUGACUUAUUUAAUAAGACGCUCAGAUUUAUUUAAAAUAACAAGAGUUUAAUAGUCCACCGGCAGGCUACAGGGUAGGUAAGUACCGGGUAGGUCCUGCCGAGGCAACAUAGGUAAGUUCACAUGGGUUUGGGAGUUUUUUACGACUCUGUAAUGAUCCCUCCGCUGGUUCACCAACGGAGA
rnacentral:misc_RNA from 1 species